AGGUAUUAGUAUCUUGCUGAAUUAACAUUCACCACAUUUAGUGUAAAGGGAUUAUAAUCACCCUGGAACUUUAUUUACAUUUUUCUCUUGGCCUAAUGCCCUACAGCUGUACCAAUGAGAGAAGUUAACAGCUCUAACUGUCCUUCACCUCCUUCCCUGCUGGAUGGUCUGUCCUCUCUGAUCUGCUGAUAGAGCCAUUACAGAAGUUCAUUUAAAAUUAUAUUGGCCAGCUUAAACAGUUGUUUUUUGCUAACUUGGCUUUUUUAGUCUCAGAUGAAUUAGGGAGCUUGCUAGCCUCCUUCUCUAGCUCAGCUCUUUAUGGACUGCAUGUGUGUUGGCAUCUUGAAUCAUACUGUAUCACUUCCUCUUCUGAUCAUAAAAAGGAUUGCUUCCUGUUCCUCUCUUGGGUGAACUGAUGGAUGAGGCAUGGAAGGACCAGGCAGCAAACAUUGAGCGCUCCACACUGCGCAGCAUGUGUGCAUUCUUCCCACAUCAAUCUGGUGUUAAGUGGAAUGGCAACUGUUGCUGUUGAGAACUACUGUAGCAAUGACCAGCGCCCUAGCUCCCUGCUUUACCAGCAAGCUAUUCUGCUUUCAGAAUAUGAAAUACAUUUGGUUUAAUGAGCAGGAAGACAGAAGAAAGUUGCUGAUUUGAGUUCUGUUGGUAAAUGGAAUUGAUUAUUUUUUCAUAGAACCAUUAUGAUUGGAAAAGACCUCUGAGAUCAUGGGGUCUAACCAUCCACUUACCAUCAAUAUUGUCCCCUAAACCAUGUCCCUAAGUACUAAUCUACCCUGUCCUUAAACACCUGCAGGGACAGUUACUUCACUACCUCCCUGGGCAGCCCAUUCCAGUGCCUUCCCACUCUUUCUGAGAAGAAAUGUUUCCUAAUAUGCAACAUUUUUGGAGCAGGCAUUAAAAUCGUUUCACU
rnacentral:lncRNA from 1 species